rnacentral:rRNA from 1 species
ACACGAGUUUGAUCAUGGCUCAGAUUGAACGCUGGCGGCAUGCUUUACACAUGCAAGUCGAACGGUAACAGGCCUUCGGGUGCUGACGAGUGGCGAACGGGUGAGUAAUGCAUCGGAACGUGCCCAAUCGUGGGGGAUAACGUAGCGAAAGUUACGCUAAUACCGCAUAAGCCCUGAGGGGGAAAGUGGGGGACCGCAAGGCCUCACGCGAAUGGAGCGGCCGAUGUCAGAUUAGCUAGUUGGUGGGGUAAAGGCCCACCAAGGCGACGAUCUGUAGCGGGUCUGAGAGGAUGAUCCGCCACACUGGGACUGAGACACGGCCCAGACUCCUACGGGAGGCAGCAGUGGGGAAUUUUGGACAAUGGGCGCAAGCCUGAUCCAGCCAUGCCGCGUGCGGGACGAAGGCCUUCGGGUUGUAAACCGCUUUCAGCCGGAAAGAAAUCGCCGUUUUUAAUACAGACGGUGGAUGACGGUACCAGAAGAAGAAGCACCGGCUAACUACGUG